rnacentral:rRNA from 1 species
CCUACGGGUUGCACCAGUGGGGAAUAUUGGACAAUGGGGGGAACCCUGAUCCAGCCAUGCCGCGUGUGUGAAGAAGGCCUUUUGGUUGUAAAGCACUUUAAGCGAGGAGGAGGCUACUCUAGUUAAUACCUAGAGAUAGUGGACGUUACUCGCAGAAUAAGCACCGGCUAACUCUGUGCCAGCAGCCGCGGUAAUACAGAGGGUGCAAGCGUUAAUCGGAUUUACUGGGCGUAAAGCGCGCGUAGGUGGCCAAUUAAGUCAAAUGUGAAAUCCCCGAGCUUAACUUGGGAAUUGCAUUCGAUACUGGUUGGCUAGAGUAUGGGAGAGGAUGGUAGAAUUCCAGGUGUGGCGGUGAAAUGCGUAGAGAUCUGGAGGAAUACCGAUGGCGAAGGCAGCCAUCUGGCCUAAUACUGACAUUGAGGUGCGAAAGCAUGGGGAGCAAACAGGAUUAGAUACCCGAGUAGUC